GACGAACGCUGGCGGCGUGCUUAACACAUGCAAGUCGAACGGUGAAGCCCUUCGGGGUGGAUCAGUGGCGAACGGGUGAGUAACACGUGGGCAAUCUGCCCUGCACUCUGGGACAAGCCUUGGAAACGAGGUCUAAUACCGGAUAUUACCCUGGAGCGCAUGCUCCGGGGUGGAAAGCUCCGGCGGUGCAGGAUGAGCCCGCGGCCUAUCAGCUUGUUGGUGGGGUGAUGGCCUACCAAGGCGACGACGGGUAGCCGGCCUGAGAGGGCGACCGGCC
rnacentral:rRNA from 1 species